GCGGAUGUAGUUUAACGGACGAAUCUGCUCUUGCCAGGGGUAGGAUCUCGGUUCGACUCCGGGCAUCCGCU
rnacentral:tRNA from 1 species